UACAGAGGUGGCAAGCGUUGUUCGGAAUUACUGGGCGUAAAGGGCGCGUAGGCGGCCUCCUCAGUCAGACGUGAAAUCCCCGGGCUUAACUCGGGAACUGCGUCUGAUACUGGAAGGCUGGAGUUCGGGAGAGGGAUGUGGAAUUCCAGGUGUAGCGGUGAAAUGCGUAGAUAUCUGGAGGAACACCGGUGGCGAAGGCGGCAUCCUGGACCGAAACUGACGCUGAGGCGCGAAAGCCAGGGGAGCAAACGGG
rnacentral:rRNA from 1 species